rnacentral:rRNA from 1 species
AUGGAGGUGGUCGCCGUGUGCAUCAUGUGCACGGUUGUGGCGAUCGCGGCGGUAGUUUGCUUUCUCAUGGCGCGGGCGAUGUGGCGGGCCGGAGCGCGGGAGGCGGUGCUGGAGGCUGACCUGGUGAGGCAGAAGGAGGCGCUCCGGCAGGCGGAGCGCAAGAGCAUGAACAAGAGCAAUGCCUUCGCCCGUGCCAGCCAUGACAUCCGCUCCUCGCUAGCCGCCAUUGUUGGGCUCAUCGAGCUCUCCCGAUUGGAGGCCCACGACAACCCCAACCUCACCUACAACCUCGACCAAAUGGAUGUCGGCACCAACAAGCUCUUGGAUAUACUUAACACGAUCCUGGAUAUGGGCAAGGUGGAGUCCGGGAAGAUGCAACUAGAGGAGGUGGAGUUCAAGAUGACAGACGUGCUUGAGGAAUCCAUGGACCUAGCGAAUGUCAUCGGCAUGUCAAGAGGCAUCGAGGUAAUCUGGGACCCCUGUGACUUCUCCGUGCUUCGAUGCACUGCCACCAUCGGUGACUACAAGCGUGUCAAGAAGAUCCUUGACAACCUACUCAGCAAUGCCAUCAAGUUCACGCACGAAGGCCACGUCAUGCUUCGGGCAUGGGCUAACCGCCCAAUCAUGAGAAGAUCCAUGAUAAGCACCCCGACGAGGUUUUCUCCCUGCCGUCGCCCUGGUGGGGUCUUCCAAUGGCUCCUAGGAAGGAGGGAGAACUGUAAUGAACAUAAUGGCUGCAUGUCCUUGCAAAACGACUCCAAUUCGGUUGAGUUUUAUUUUGAGGUGGUUGACACUGGUGUGGGAAUACCCAAGGAUAAGAGGGAGUCUGUGUUUGAGAACUAUGUUCAAGUGAAGGAAGGGCAUGGUGGUACCGGGCUUGGACUUGGAAUCGUGCAAUCCUUUGUUCGUCUGAUGGGAGGAGAAAUCAACAUAAUGGACAAUGAGCAAGGGGCAGCGGGAACAUGCUUCGGUUUCAACGUGUUCCUAAAAGUGAGCGAUAGUCCAAAGGUUGAAGAGGACCUCGAGCAAGGGAGGACGCCGCCCUCGCUCUUCAGUGAGCCCGCCUGCUUUAAGGGCGGGCAAUGCGUCCUCCUUGUCCAUGGCAACGAGACCCGCCGGAUCCUCCACACAUGCAUGGAAAGUAUCGGGAUGAAGGUCUGGCCCGUCCCAAGCACCGAGCUCCUCGCGUCGAGCCUCGACAAGGCGCGCAUCGCCGGCGGUGCCUCACCCUCGAGGCCGGCUUUGAUGUCGUCGUUGCAUGGCGUCGGAGACGGCGACUUCGAUUGCACCACAGAUCGGUGCUUCAGUUCCAAGGAGAUGGUUAGCCACCUGCGGAACAGCAGCGGCAUGGCCGGCAACCACGAAGGGCAUGUUCACCCCUUCGGCCUGCUAGUCAUCGUCGACGUCUCCAGCGGGAUGCUCCACAAGGUCGCCCGCGAGGCGGUGAGCUUGGCGAGGAUCAGGCACCAGGCACCGUGCAGGGUCGUCUGCCUGACCGACCUCAAGACCCCCUCCGAGGAUCUGAGGAAGUUCAAGGAGGCGGCGAUCUGCGAUCUUGAUCUGCGCAAGCCCAUCCAUGGAUCCCGGCUGCACAAGCUCCUCCAGGUCAUGAGAGAUCUCCAGGCCUCCCCGUUCCAUCAGCAGCAUCCUUAUCAGUUCGGGACAGCCAUGAAAGAAGUACCAGCGGCAGAUCAGACCUCUGAAAUCACGCCCGUGGCAGCUGCGGCGGCGCUCCAGGGACCGACCGAUGUUGGAGACGGCAAGCCGCUGGAGGGCAUGCACGUGCUGCUGGCGGAGGACACCCUGGUGCUGCAGAUAGUCCAGAAGCAGGUGCUGACCAAUCUCGGAGCAGCUGUAGAAAUUGCCACGGAUGGCUCCAUGGCUGUGGCCAUGUUCACAAAAGCUCUUGAGGGUGCAAAUGGCGUCCCAGAGAGUCAUGUAGAUACAGGGGCCAUGCCCUACGAUGUGAUUUUCAUGGAUUGCCAGAUGCCGGUGAUGGAUGGCUAUGAGGCGACGAGGCGCAUCCGUGAGGAAGAAAGCCGUCAUGGUAUCCGCACCCCGAUCAUCGCGCUGACCGCACAUUCCGAGGAAGAGGGUCAGCAGGAGGCCAUCCAGGCAGGGAUGGAUCUUCACCUGACAAAGCCGAUACCGAAGUCGAAAAUCGCAGAGAUUGUUCUUGAGCUCUGCAACGAAAUUAAGAAGUGA